GGAGUCGGCCGGGUGGCCGCGGCGCAGGCGGCGCAAGCCACUUGUGUCGAGGAAAGUCCGGACUUCGCAGGGCAGGACGCUGGGGAAAAUCCCAGGCGGGGCGACCCGCGGAAAGUGCAACAGAGAGCAGACCGCCGGGGCCUCGGCCCCGGUAAGGGUGAAAGGGUGAGGUAAGAGCUCACCGGCGCGCAGGGCGACCGGCGCGGCCAGGCAAACCCCGUCCGGAGCAAGGCCAAGCAGGAGGUAGGGGCGGCCCGUCCCGCCGUGGCUUCGGCCCCGGCAGCCUCCGGGUAGGCCGCACGAGGCGGACGGCAACGUCCGUCCCAGAUGGAUGGCCACCGCCGCCCGAGCCAUCGGGCGGCACAGAAUCCGGCUUACAGGCCGGCUCCACGA
rnacentral:RNase_P_RNA from 1 species